GGGGAUGUAGCUCAGUUGGUAGAGCGCUUGCCUUGGAUGCAAAGCUCUUGUUCAGUCCCU
rnacentral:tRNA from 1 species